GACAUGACUUAGACAGCCCACACUUGUACCUGACUGGCUUUGCUGCUGUGAAGAGAGAAAACUCCAUUUACACAACAAGAACCAGGUAGCACAAUAUCGGGUGGCGCGCCAGUGAUUUGGAGAACAGGAUGCCGCGGUCAUCUGAUGUGUACAUGGUUCCAAAGAAGGUGUCUGUAUUGAAACAGAAGAAAGAGAAGAAGAGAAAGGCACCGAUGUAGCCAAAACUGUAGAUGUCCUCGUGGAUUGUGGUGAAGGUCUGCCCCAGAUCCUUUGUCCUCUUCAGCAGUAAAUCCCCCCUCUCAUCUGCAUCAACUGUGGCGACAAGAAGCAAGACUUGGUGACAGGAAUAUGAGAUACUCAGGACUCUUAUUUAUUGGU